AUUUGAAGCGAGUUAUGCGUCUUCAAAAUUGGAGGUGAGAUAUGGAGAGACGGCAGAGAAAGAGACAGUCGUUUUCUCUGCCGCCUCUCACUCUCUAACCUCCAAUUUUAAAGGCGCAUAACUCGCUUCAAAA
rnacentral:sRNA from 13 species